UACGAAGGGGGCUAGCGUUGCUCGGAAUCACUGGGCGUAAAGCGCACGUAGGCGGAUCUUUAAGUCAGGGGUGAAAUCCUGGAGCUCAACUCCAGAACUGCCUCUGAUACUGGGGAUCUUGAGUCCGGAAGAGGUAAGUGGAACUGCGAGUGUAGAGGUGAAAUUCGUAGAUAUUCGCAAGAACACCAGUGGCGAAGGCGGCUCACUGGCCCGGUACUGACGCUGAGGCACGAAAGCGUGGGGAGCAAACAGG
rnacentral:rRNA from 1 species